AUAGUCGACGUAGUUGACUCUGCUCGAGACACGCUGGCGGCGUGCUUAACACAUGCAAGUCGAACGGUGAACCAGAGCUUGCUCUGGGGAUCAGUGGCGAACGGGUGAGUAACACGUGGGCAACCUGCCCCAGACUCUGGGAUAACCUCGGGAAACCGAUACUAAUACCGGAUACGACCACUUCGGACAUCCGACGGUGGUGGAAAGUUUUUCGGUCUGGGAUGGGCCCGCGGCCUAUCAGCUAGUUGGUGGGGUAAUGGCCUACCAAGGCGACGACGGGUAGCCGGCCUGAGAGGGCGACCGGCCACACUGGAACUGAGACACGGUCCAGACUCCUACGGGAGGCAGCAGUGGGGAAUAUUGCACACUGGGCGAAAGCCUGAUGCAGCGACGCCGCGUGAGGGACGACGGCCUUCGGGUUGUAAACCUCUUUCAGCAGGGACGAAGCGAAAGUGACUGUACCUGCAGAAGAAGCACCGGCUAACUACGUG
rnacentral:rRNA from 1 species